rnacentral:rRNA from 1 species
CAGCAGCCGCGGGAAUACAGAGGGUGCAAGCGUUAAUCGGAAUUACUGGGCGUAAAGCGCGCGUAGGUGGUUCGCCAAGUUGGAUGUGAAAUCCCCGGGCUCAACCUGGGAACUGCAUCCAAAACUGGCGAGCUAGAGUAUGGUAGAGGGUGGUGGAAUUUCCUGUGUAGCGGUGAAAUGCGUAGAUAUAGGAAGGAACAUCAGUGGCGAAGGCGACCACCUGGACUGAUACUGACACUGAGGUGCGAAAGCGUGGGGAGCAAACAGGAUUAGAGACCCCUGUAGUCCCUGUCUCUUAUAC